AGCUUGCGGUGGGGUCUGUGUGUGAUCUUGCGGUGGGGUCUGUGUGUGUGUGUGUGUGUGUGUGUGUCCCAACAAUGUGUGUUCUCUCAUGUCUAGGAUGUGAAGGCCAUAGUGACUCGUUUUACAGUGUGUGUGUGUGUGUGUGACGUGAAAUAUGGGUGCCAUGAGGGGUAACUAUAGAGGAGGUGUAGAGGAGCCUCAACAACCUAUUAAUAACACUGCAGGAGGUCUCUGGAGGUCUCAGGAAAACUCAGGUGGGUUUCAGGGGGUCUCUGGAGGUCUCUGAAGGUCUCAGGAAAACUCAGGGGGUCUCUGGAUGUCUCAGGAAAACUCAGGGGGUCUCUGGAGGUCUCAGGGGGUUUCAGGGGGUCUCUGGAGGUCUCAGGAAAACUCAGGCGGGUUUCGGGGUCUCAGGAGGUUUUAGAAGUCUCUGGAGGUCUCUGGGUCUCAGGUCUCAGGAAGUAUCAGAAGGUAUCAGGGGUUUUCAGGAAGUAUCAGAAGGUAUCAGGGGUUCUCAGGAAGUAUCAGAAGGUAUCAGGGGUUCUCAGGAAGUAUCAGAAGGUAUCAGGGAGUAUCAGAAGGUAUCAGGGGUUUUCAGGAAGUAUCAGAAGGUAUCAGGGGUUCUCAGGAAGUAUCAGAAGGUAUCAGGGGUUCUCAGGAAGUAUCAGAAGGUAUCAGGGGUUCUCAGGAAGUAUCAGAAGGUAUCAGGGGUUCUCAGGAAGUAUCAGAAGGUAUCAGGGGUUCUCAGGAAGUAUCAGAAGGUAUCAGGGGUUCUCAGGAAGUAUCAGAAGGUAUCAGGAGGUCACAUGAGGUUUUAG
rnacentral:lncRNA from 1 species